rnacentral:rRNA from 1 species
GUUUGAUCCUGGCUCAGGAUGAACGCUGGCGGCGUGCUUAACACAUGCAAGUCGAGCGGCAGCGCGAGUAGUUUACUACUUGGCGGCGAGCGGCGGACGGCUGAGUAACGCGUGGGAAUGUGCCCUAAAGUGAGGGAUAACGCACCGAAAGGUGUGCUAAUACCGCAUAUGGUCUUCGGAUUAAAGAAUUUAUUCGCUUUAGGAGCAGCCUGCGUCGGAUUAGGUAGUUGGUAGGGUAAUGGCCUACCAAGCCGACGAUCCGUAGCUGGUCUGAGAGGAUGACCAGCCAGACUGGAACUGAGACACGGUCCAGACUCCUACGGGAGGCAGCAGUGAGGAAUCUUCCACAAUGGGCGAAAGCCUGAUGGAGCAACGCCGCGUGCAGGAUGAAGGCCUUCGGGUUGUAAACUGCUUUUAUUUGUGAGGAAUAUGACGGUAGCAAAUGAAUAAGGAUCGGCUAACUACGUGCCAGCAGCCGCGGUCAUACGUAGGAUCCGAGCGUUAUCCGGAGUGACUGGGCGUAAAGAGUUGCGUAGGUGGUUAUAUAAGUGAAUAGUGAAAUCUGGCGGCUCAACCGUACAGGCUAUUAUUCAAACUGUAUAACUCGAGAAUGGUAGAGGUUACUGGAAUUUCUUGUGUAGGAGUGAAAUCCGUAGAUAUAAGAAGGAACACCAAUGGCGUAGGCAGGUAACUGGACCAUUUCUGACACUAAGGCACGAAAGCGUGGGGGAGCGAACCGGAUUAGAUACCCGGGUAGUCCACGCCGUAAACGAUGGAUACUAGCUGUUGGAGGUAUCGACCCCUUCAGUAGCGAAGCUAACGCGUUAAGUAUCCCGCCUGUGGAGUACGGUCGCAAGACUAAAACAUAAAGGAAUUGACGGGGACCCGCACAAGCGGUGGAUCGUGUUCUUUAAUUCGAUGCUAAACGAAGAACCUUACCAGGGCUUGACAUCCAGGGAAUUUCUGCGAAAGCAGUUAGUGCCUUUUGGAACCCUGUGACAGGUGAUGCAUGGCCGUCGUCAGCUCGUGUCGUGAGAUGUUUGGUUAAGUCCAUCAACGAGCGCAACCCUUGUGAAUAGUUGUAUUUUUCUAUUCAGACUGCCCCGGUAACGGGGAGGAAGGAGGGGAUGAUGUCAGGUCAGUAUUUCCCUUACGUCCUGGGCUAGAAACACGAUACAAUGGCUAGUACAAUGCGCAGCGAAACCGCGAGGUGGAGCAAAUCGCACCAAAGCUAGUCCCAGUUCGGAUUGGAGGCUGAAACUCGCCUCCAUGAAGUCGGAAUCGCUAGUAAUCGCAAAUCAGCAAGUUGCGGUGAAUACGUUCCCGGGUCUUGUACACACCGCCCGUCAA